rnacentral:piRNA from 1 species
AAAAACUACAGACUGAAGAAUGUCCA